GGUUCCGUAGCACAGUUGGCCGUGCGCCCAUUACCAAAACCGGGUGGUCGAGGGUUCAAGUCCCUUUGGAACCC